rnacentral:rRNA from 1 species
UACGAAGGGGGCUAGAGAUAUUCAGAUUUACUGGGCGUAAAGCGCACGUAGGCGGAUUUGUCAGUCAGGGGUGAAAUCCCGGGGCUCAACCUCGGAACUGCCUCUGAUACAGCAAAUCUCGAGUCCGGAAGAGGUGAGAGGAACUCCUAGUGUAGAGGUGAAAUUCGUAGAUAUUAGGAAGAACACCAGUGGCGAAGGCGGCUCACUGGUCCGGAACUGACGCUGAGGUGCGAAAGCGUGGGGAGCAAACAGG